UACAGAGGGUGCAAGCGUUGUUCGGAAUUAUUGGGCGUAAAGGGAGUGUAGGCGGUUCGUUAAGUCUUCUGUGAAAUCUACGGGCUUAGCCUGUAACGUGCAGAGGAAACUAGCGGGCUUGAGUGUCGGAGAGGAUAGGGGAAUACCCAGUUUAGAGGUGAAAUUCGUAGAGAUUGGGUGGAACACCAGUGGCGAAGGCGCCUAUCUGGCUGACAACUGACGCUGAGACUCGAAAGCAUGGGGAGCAAACAGG
rnacentral:rRNA from 1 species